GACGUAGGGGGCAAGCGUUGUUCGGAUUUACUGGGCGUAAAGGGCGCGUAGGCGGCGUGACAAGUCAAUUGUGAAAUCUCCGGGCUUAACUCGGAACGGUCAAUUGAUACUGUUGUGCUAGAGUACAGAAGGGGCAAUCGGAAUUCUUGGUGUAGCGGUGAAAUGCGUAGAUAUCAAGAGGAACACCUGAGGUGAAGACGGGUUGCUGGGCUGAUACUGACGCUGAGGCGCGAAAGCUAGGGUAGCAAACGGG
rnacentral:rRNA from 1 species